rnacentral:rRNA from 1 species
GAUGAACGCUGGCGGCGUGCCUAAUACAUGCAAGUCGAGCGAACAGACGAGGAGCUUGCUCCUCUGACGUUAGCGGCUGACGGGUGAGUAACACGUGGAUCACCUACCUAUAUUACUUGGAUAAUUUCGUGAAACCGCAUCUAAUACCGGCUAAUAUAUUGAACCGCAUGGUUCAAUAGUGCAUGACGGUUUUGCUGUCACUUAUAGAUGGUUCCGCGCUGAAUUAUCUAGUUGGUAAGGUAACGGCUUACCAAGGCAACGAUGCGUAUCCGACCUGAGAGGGUGAUCGGCCACACGGGAACUGAGACACGGCCCAGAGUCCAAGGGGAGGCAGAAGUGGGAAAACUUGCGCAAGGGGCGAAAGCCUGACGAAGCAACGCCGCGUGGGGGAGGAAGGUCUUCGGAUCGUAAAACUCUGUUAUGAGGGAAAAACAAAUGUGUAAGUAACUAUGCACGUCUGAAGGGAACCUAAGAAGAAGGCCACGCCUAACUAGGU